rnacentral:rRNA from 1 species
UGGGGAAUAUUGGACAAUGGGGGGAACCCUGAUCCAACCAUGCCGCGUGUGUGAAGAAGGCCUUAUGGUUGUAAAGCACUUUAAGCGAGGAGGAGGGUACUGGUAUUAAUACUACCAGGUACUGGACGUUACUCGCAGAAUAAGCACCGGCUAACUCUGUGCCAGCAGCCGCGGUAAUACAGAGGGUGCGAGCGUUAAUCGGAUUUACUGGGCGUAAAGCGUGCGUAGGCGGCUAAUUGAGUCGGAUGUGAAAUCCCCGAGCUUAACUUGGGAAUUGCAUUCGAUACUGGUUAGCUAGAGUGUGGGAGAGGAUGGUAGAAUUCCAGGUGUAGCGGUGAAAUGCGUAGAGAUCUGGAGGAAUACCGAUGGCGAAGGCAGCCAUCUGGCCUAACACUGACGCUGAGGUACGAAAGCAUGGGGAGCAAACAGG